rnacentral:rRNA from 1 species
UACGGAGGGUGCGAGCGUUGUUCGGAAUCACUGGGCGUAAAGCGCGUGUAGGCGGCCUGCUAAGUCUGAUGUGAAAGCCCGAGGCUCACCCUCGGAAGUGCAUUGGAAACUGGCAGACUGGAGUCCCGGAGAGGAGGGUGGAAUUCCUGGUGUAGCGGUGAAAUACGUAGAUAUCAGGAGGAACACCGGUGGCGAAGGCGGCCCUCUGGACGGUGACUGACGCUGAGACGCGAAAGCGUGGGGAGCAAACAGG